AAAAUUAUAUCAUCAGAGAAUAGAGAAGUGUCAUAAAGAAAUUUAAUGCGCGCGAAGAAGAAAGCCACUGUAAGAAUUCAACGAGGAAUCGUAAAAAUUGUCAGAUGACAACGUAAGAGGAAACUAGACUAGCGCACAUAGGGAUGUCAGGUUCAAAGAACGAGAAGCCACAGUGUCGUGAAGACGAAGACGGCCGGCGGUAAAAUAGCCGGGAAAAUUAGAAAAGCCGCAACAAGGCGCGGUGAUCCGGGUCUCUUAAUGACAAAGCUGCUCGGCCGUAUCGUUUCUGAGAUUUUUCGCUCGGCCCUAUCUCCGUUUCCCU